UUGACAGUCCAUGAUGAGUUGCUGAGUAUUGCCUACAUUGUUUGACAAAUAUUUUUGUGAUAAUAUUGCAACUUCUGAGGCUUAA
rfam:Brachypodium distachyon strain Bd21 chromosome 1, whole genome shotgun sequence.